rnacentral:rRNA from 1 species
AUACGGAGGAUGCGAGCGUUAUCCGGAUUUAUUGGGUUUAAAGGGAGCGUAGGUGGGAUAUUAAGUCAGCUGUGAAAGUUUGGGGCUCAACCUUAAAGUUGCAGUUGAUACUGGUUUCCUUGAGUACGGUACAGGUGGGCGGAAUUCGUGGUGUAGCGGUGAAAUGCUUAGAUAUCACGAAGAACUCCGAUCGCGAAGGCAGCUCACCGGGCCGGAACUGACACUGAUGCUCGAAAGUGCGGGUAUCAAACAGGAUUAGAUACCCUGGUAGUCCGCACAGUAAACGAUGAAUACUCGCUGUUUGCGAUACACGGUAAGCGGCCAAGCGAAAGCGUUAAGUAUUCCACCUGGGGAGUACGCCGGCAACGGUGAAACUUAAAGGAAUUGGCGGGG